GAUGAACGCUGGCGGCGUGCCUAAUACAUGCCAGUCGAGCGAACGGACGAGAAGCUUGCUUUUCUGAUGUUAGCGGCGGACGGGUGAGUAACACGUGGAUAACCUACCUAUAAGACUGGGAUAACUUCGGGAAACCGGAUCUAAUACCGGAUAAUAUUUUGAACCGCAUGGUUCAAAAGUGAAAGACGGUCUUGCUGUCACUUAUAGAUGGAUCCGCGCUGCAUUAGCUAGUUGGUAAGGUAACGGCUUACCAAGGCAACGAUGCAUAGCCGACCUGAGAGGGUGAUCGGCCACACUGGAACUGAGACACGGUCCAGACUCCUACGGGAGGCAGCAGUAGGGAAUCUUCCGCAAUGGGCGAAAGCCUGACGGAGCAACGCCGCGUGAGUGAUGAAGGUCUUCGGAUCGUAAAACUCUGUUAUUAGGGAAGAACAUAUGUGUAAGUAACUGUGCACAUCUUGACGGUACCUAAUCAGAAAGCCACGGCUAACUACGUG
rnacentral:rRNA from 1 species